rnacentral:misc_RNA from 1 species
GAUGAAGAACGCAGCGAAAUGCGAUAAGUAAUGUGAAUUGCAGAAUUCAGUGAAUCAUCGAAUCUUUGAACGCACAUUGCGCCCGUCAGUAUUCUGGCGGGCAUGCCUAUUCGAGCGUCAUUACGCCCCUCAAGUCCCCUGUGGACUUGGUGUUGGGGAUCGGCGAGGCUGGUUUUCCAGCACAGCCGUCCCUUAAAUUAAUUGGCGGUCUCGCCGUGGCCCUCCUCUGCGCAGUAGUAAAACACUCGCAACAGGAGCCCGGCGCGGUCCACUGCCGUAAAACCCCCCAACUUUUUAUAGUUGACCUCGAAUCAGGUAGGACUACCCGCUGAACUUAAGCAUAUCAAUAAGCGGAGGA